AGGACUUGUGUCUGGGCUUCCUACAUCUCAGCUGAGCACCCUUUCUGACCACAAACUACAUUACGUUGUCAAGGAACUUCUCUUUAGGAAACCUUUGUUAAGGAGAGCUUGUUCCCACGAAAAGUUUAUUUUUGAAGAAAGCAUUUUUAAAAAUAAAGAAUAAAACAGAUGUGUUUAAUCAAUAACUUUCCAACCAUUUCUUUGCCAUUAGGUUUUGGACAAUCGCACACUAAUCCAUCUGGGAGACGGGUCCAGCAGCUCUGGCUCAUCCUUUGGACAAGGACCAUGGGGCUCUGGUUUCCUGCCAUCCCCGUAACCUGAUCUCCAGCUUUGGACAAGCAAGGGAGAAGGCAUUUGAGCACACUGAAUCGGGGGGAACGGAGCACGAGAACAGAGGCACCAAGAGGGGAGACAGGUCACGAUCUGUCGAACAUCACACACCCAUGAAGCGUGCUCCAGCACGCGUUGCACAGACAGCCAAGUCCAACGCUGCCACUGCAGGAGGGCCGCCACGGCGCAGGGAGUACGUGGGGCUGAAGAAACCAGCUUCUGGCGCUACCUUGCCUUAGCUGAUGUCACCUGCUUUGCCUAUAUAAAUUGUCUAUAGAAUUGUCUAUGCAAUAUAAAUUGUCUGUAUAAACGUCUCUAUGUAAAUUGUAAGCCCUCCUAGGCAGGGACUGUCUGUAACAGCUUUGACAGACACCUAGCACAACGCAACCUGGCUGAAAUGAAUAAAAAAUUAAAAUAUAUCUGUAUCA
rnacentral:lncRNA from 1 species